rnacentral:rRNA from 1 species
AGUGAACGCUGGCGGCAGGCCUAACACAUGCAAGUCGAGCGGCAGCGCGGGGGCAACCCUGGCGGCGAGCGGCGGACGGGUGAGGAAUUCGUCGGAAUCUGCCUUUUUGUGGGGGAUAACGUAGGGAAACUUACGCUAAUACCGCAUACGUCCUACGGGAGAAAGUGGGGGACCGCAAGGCCUCACGCAGAAAGAUGAGCCGACGACCGAUUAGCUAGUUGGUGGGGUAAAGGCCCACCAAGGCGACGAUCGGGAGCUGGUCUGAGAGGAUGAUCAGCCACACUGGGACUGAGACACGGCCCAGACUCCUACGGGAGGCAGCAGUGGGGAAUAUUGGACAAUGGGCACAAGCCUGAUCCAGCCAUGCCGCGUGUGUGAAGAAGGCCUUCGGGUUGUAAAGCACUUUUGUCCGGAAAGAAAUCCCUGGAGCUAAUACCUUCGGGGGAUGACGGUACCGGAAGAAUAAGCACCGGCUAACUUCGUG